AGCUUUGCACAGCGGAAGUAUUGUAGCCGAUGAGGUUUAUCCUACACUUGAUCAUUGCUAAUCGAAAAUUUUCCCAAUACCCUGCUGUGAUGACUUAAAAUAUAAUCAGCAUUGGCAAUUUUUGACAUUCUCUACGGAGA
ensembl:snRNA U4 U4 spliceosomal RNA